UGCAGUUAAAAAGCUCGUAGUUGGAUUUCUGUGGGGACGGAGCGGCCGGCCGCUACUAGCGGUUCGAGCUAGCGCUUUCCCUACAUCCUGCCGCGAACCGUGCUACCAUUAGUUUGGUGGCGCCGGGGAUCGGCUCGUUUACUUUGAGAAAUAUAGAGUGUUCAAAGCAGGCCACACGCCUUGAAUAAGUUAGCAUGGAAUAAUAACUAAGGACUUCGGUUCUAUUUUGUUGGUGUUCGGGACUGAAGUAAUGAUCGAUAGGGACAGUUGGGGCGAUUCCGUAUUCCAAAGGCGAGAGGUGAAAUUCUUAGACCUUCGGAAGACCAACAGCUGCGA
rnacentral:rRNA from 1 species